AUUGGACGCUGGCGGCAUGCUUUACACAUGCAAGUCGAACGGUAACAGGUUAAGCUGACGAGUGGCGAACGGGUGAGUAAUGCAUCGGAACGUGCCCGAUCGUGGGGGAUAACGCAGCGAAAGCUGCGCUAAUACCGCAUACGAUCUGAGGAUGAAAGCGGGGGACCGUAAGGCCUCGCGCGAUCGGAGCGGCCGAUGUCAGAUUAGGUAGUUGGUGGGGUAAAGGCCCACCAAGCCGACGAUCUGUAGCUGGUCUGAGAGGACGACCGGCCACACUGGGACUGAGACACGGCCCAGACUCCUACGGGAGGCAGCAGUGGGGAAUUUUGGACAAUGGGCGAAAGCCUGAUCCAGCAAUGCCGCGUGCAGGAAGAAGGCCUUCGGGUUGUAAACUGCUUUUGUACGGAGCGAAAAGGUCCUUUCUAAUACAGGGGGCUCAUGACGGUACCGUAAGAAUAAGCACCGGCUAACUACGUGCCAGCAGCCGCGGUAA
rnacentral:rRNA from 1 species